ensembl:snRNA U6 U6 spliceosomal RNA
GGGCUCCCUUUGGCUGCACACAUGCCAAGAUUAGAACGACACAGGGAAGAUUAGCAUGGCCCCUGCGCAAGGAUGAUGCGCAAAUCGCCGAAUCGUUCUGUAUUUUU